rnacentral:rRNA from 1 species
UGGGGAAUUUUGGACAAUGGGCGAAAGCCUGAUCCAGCCAUGCCGCGUGCAGGAUGAAGGCCUUCGGGUUGUAAACUGCUUUUGUACGGAACGAAAAGACUCUGGUUAAUACCUGGGGUCCAUGACGGUACCGUAAGAAUAAGCACCGGCUAACUACGUGCCAGCAGCCGCGGUAAUACGUAGGGUGCAAGCGUUAAUCGGAAUUACUGGGCGUAAAGCGUGCGCAGGCGGUUAUAUAAGACAGAUGUGAAAUCCCCGGGCUCAACCUGGGAACUGCAUUUGUGACUGUAUAGCUAGAGUACGGCAGGGGGGGAUGGAAUUCCGCGUGUAGCAGUGAAAUGCGUAGAUAUGCGGAGGAACACCGAUGGCGAAGGCAAUCCCCUGGGCCUGUACUGACGCUCAUGCACGAAAGCGUGGGGAGCAAACAGGAUUAGAUACCCUGGUAGUCCACGCCCUAAACGAUGUCAACUGGUUGUUGGGUCUUCACUGACUCAGUAACGAAGCUAACGCGUGAAGUUGACCGCCUGGGGAGUACGGCCGCAAGGUUG